AUGAGCGGUCAAGUCAGCGUGAGGUGGAGAAGAUGUGGCGUUUCUGUCGGUGGCGCUGGGCCAGCAACAUCAGACAGUGGACUACGAGGAGCUGCCGUGGGUGGUGGCUACAGUUUCCACGGGAGUGGGGUGGGGGUGGCACAUGUGGGGGCGACGACAGCAAGUGGAUCCGCACCGCUGAGGUGCACAACCACUCCGAGAAGGCCACAACAACAGAGGAGUGGGAUCGGCGAGAAGAUUGAAGGUGUUGCGGACCCUGUACUCAAUUCCAACAAGAUUAACAAGGCAUCUAUGCUUGACGAGGCCAUUGAGUAUGAGAAGCAGCUAUAUCUCGAAGUACAAGUUAGUAAGCAUGCCUGGAUGCAUGGUUGGAGGAUGAGCUUAGAUUGA
rnacentral:rRNA from 1 species